UCUAGUGAGCAGAGCCUCCUCUAAAACCCAAUUCUUUCUACAUACUUUUUGCCUAAUGGAUAGAGCAACCUGCCAGGAAUUUGGAGGACUUAAAUAAACAUUGAAGAUACAAAAGCACACAAGGGAUGAUUUUAUUGUAAAGUCAUGUUGUCAUCAAAUGCUGUGAUUUCUUCCCUGGUGAGGGCAGUUUUCAGGCUACCACAGUUGCCUCUGGUCAUGUCAUGGGUGAGUUCUGGCCCUGACAGCUGAUGUUGUUUCCUGACUUUUGACUGAUGGGGAAUUAAAUGCCUGUUUUACCACGGUGCAGUCCGAGUUUGCCUUGAAAGUGGAGCGAGAAAAAUUCCCAAUGGGCAGAACUGUUAAGUUACAUCAAGGGGGUGCCUUCCUCUGCUGUCUCCCCUUCUACGUCGUCCACCUUCUACAUCUCUGCUACCUCGGAGACAGCAAGGCCAACUCCUCAUCUUCUUCUCCUCCUCAGCCUACUCAAUAUGAAGACACUGAGGGAUGAAGACCUUUAUGAUGAUCCACUUCGACUUAAUAAAUACUGUGGAAUUGGGACGAAUCGCUGCACAGAGGGGCCUUGCCCAAGGCUACGCAGCUGGUGGAUGGAGAAAUCAGGCGCUUGCUGGCCGCCUGGCAGGCAGCUUUCCCUGCGAGGGAAGGAGGUGCCUCCGGCCUCUGAAGAGGUGGCUAUGGGAUAG
rnacentral:lncRNA from 1 species